UUAAGUUCAGCGGGUAGUCCUACCUGAUUUGAGGUCAAAUUGUCAAAAUUGUCCAAGUCAAUGGACAGUUAGAAGCUGAACUUCAUAAAGCUGCGUCACAUCCACGGCGUAGAUAAUUAUCACACCAAUAGACAGUCCACAAAAGUUCUGCUAAUGCAUUUAAGGAGAGCUGACCUCAUUGAUGAAGCCUGCAACCCCCA
rnacentral:misc_RNA from 1 species